ACUAUGCUCAGUCGUAAACUUUAAAUUACAUCUCACUCGCCUGGGAACUACGAGCUAAGCUUAAAACCCAAAGGACUUGACGGUACCCCAUAUCCCCCUAGAGGAGCCUGUCCUUUAAUCGAUAAUCCACGUUUAACCUCACCAUUUUUAGCUUAUUCAGCCUGUAUACCUCCGUCGCCAGCUUACCCCGUGAGCGCCAGUGAGCUUAAUGUUUAUUCAACAAUACGUCAGGUCAAGGUGCAACUAAUAAAAUGGGAAGAGAUGGGCUACAUUUUCUAAUAUAGAUCUUACGGAAAACUACUUAUGAAACCUAGUCGGAAGGCGGAUUUAGCAGUAAAUAGGAACCAGAAAGUCCUUUUUAACUUGGCACUGGGGUGUGUACACACCGCCCGUCACCCUCCUCUUACGCUAAAGAACAGUUUUUAACAAAAUUCAGCUUUUCAGAUGAGGUAAGUCGUAACACGGUAAG
rnacentral:rRNA from 1 species